rnacentral:tmRNA from 1 species
GGGGUUGUUUAUAGACUCGACAGGCUGUACUUUCAAAAUAUGCAAGCCGACUUUGAAAGCAAUGUCGCAAAUCUUGCUUUCACGAUGAUAAACGCAAACUUCAUCACCAAAGCCAAGAACGCAAUCGCGCAAGCUUUUGCUCCUUCUUUCGCUUUUGCUCGCGCCUAACCAUCCUUCGCUCUUUACUGAGCUUCGGACUGGCAAGUCGCACUACGAGCCAUCGGACUCCCGAUUCUCAAUACGGAAUCUCCGGUGCCAUAAUCAUUGAGACGCUAUGGGACAUUUUCUUUUCUUUGAGUCCCGGACGCGUAUUGCCAAAGAAAACUCCUCUUGAGGCUUUGCUCGCUUCUUACUCACGAGGAGUACCUCAAAGCGCGCUACGCUUGUAGACUAUUUUGGAAAAACUUCUCUGGACAUGGGUGCAAUUCCCAUCAACUCCACUU